GUGGGGAAUUUUGGACAAUGGGCGAAAGCCUGAUCCAGCCAUGCCGCGUGCAGGAUGAAGGCCUUCGGGUUGUAAACUGCUUUUGUACGGAACGAAAAGACUCCUUCUAAUAAAGGGGGUCCAUGACGGUACCGUAAGAAUAAGCACCGGCUAACUACGUGCCAGCAGCCGCGGUAAUACGUAGGGUGCAAGCGUUAAUCGGAAUUACUGGGCGUAACGCGUGCGCAGGCGGUUAUAUAAGACAGAUGUGAAAUCCCCGGGCUCAACCUGGGGACUGCAUUUGUGACUGUAUAGCUAGAGUACGGUAGAGGGGGAUGGAAUUCCGCGUGUAGCAGUGAAAUGCGUAGAUAUGCGGAGGAACACCGAUGGCGAAGGCAAUCCCCUGGACCUGUACUGACGCUCAUGCACGAAAGCGUGGGGAGCAAACAGGAUUAGAUACCCCAGUAGUCC
rnacentral:rRNA from 1 species